CUGGCGGCAGGCCUAAUACAUGCAAGUCGAGCGCGCCCUUCGGGGUGAGCGGCGGACGGGUGAGUAACGCGUGGGAAUAUGCCCUUCUCUAAGGAAUAGCCUCUGGAAACGGAGAGUAAUACCUUAUACGCCCUUCGGGGGAAAGAUUUAUCGGAGAAGGAUUAGCCCGCGUUAGAUUAGGUAGUUGGUGGGGUAAUGGCCUACCAAGCCUACGAUCUAUAGCUGGUUUGAGAGGAUGAUCAGCCACACUGGGACUGAGACACGGCCCAGACUCCUACGGGAGGCAGCAGUAGGGAAUCUUAGACAAUGGGGGCAACCCUGAUCUAGCCAUGCCGCGUGUGUGAUGAAGGCCCUAGGGUCGUAAAGCACUUUCGCCAGAGAUGAUAAUGACAGUAUCUGGUAAAGAAACCCCGGCUAACUCCGUGCCAGCAGCCGCGGUAAUACGGAGGGGGUUAGCGUUGUUCGGAAUUACUGGGCGUAAAGCGCACGUAGGCGGAUUAGUAAGUUAGAGGUGAAAUCCCAGGGCUCAACCCUGGAACUGCCUUUAAUACUGCUAGUCUUGAGUUCGAGAGAGGUAAGUGGAAUUCCGAGUGUAGAGGUAAAAUU
rnacentral:rRNA from 1 species